rnacentral:rRNA from 1 species
UACAGAGGCCUCGAGCGUUAGGCGGAAUCACUGGGCUUAAAGCGUGUGUAGGUGGAUGCCUAAGUACCUUGUGAAAUCCCAUGGCUUAACCUGGAACAGUCGGAGGGGACUGCCGGGCUAGAGGACGGGAGAGGAGCGCGGAAUUCCCGGUGUAGCGGUGAAAUGCGUAGAGAUCGGGAGGAAGGCCGGUGGCGAAGGCGGCGCUCUGGAACGUUUCUGACGCUGAGGCUCGAAAGCGUGGGGAGCAAACAGG